UUUCAGGCUUUACAAUGCCUUGAUGAAUCCGUCUGCACAGUCAUGGGUUUUUCCACUCUUGUCCUUUCAGUGAAACAGCUAUUAUCCCGGGACAGCUGUUGUUUGGCCAAUCUCCUGACACUACUUGGCUCCUAUCGUCUGUUGUUAUCAGCCACCUCGGUGCAUGUUGUCUGUUCUGUUUGAAAGUAUGCAUCAUCAGCUGAACUUCAGGCAUUUAUGACAUCUUUCUGAGCACAUCGGUCCCUUCCUCUGGAUUUGAGCAUUCACCAUUUGCUCUGCAUGUACUUUUUAUAUUUCCAUAUUCAAAGACAUUUUGGACUCCAUUUGGACAUCUGCACAUAUGGUUUUGUGUAUUUUGUUACCACGUUUUGUAAUUUUAUAUGGCCUUAUGUUUAUCCAUGCUAACAUGUGUGUUACCGAUGUGGCUGUCUGCUAUAAUGUUUGUUGAUAGCUGGUUUUUCAUUUUUUUCAUAAUACAUUUAUAUAUUAUUCCUUA